AUGGGCUGGGAUCGGCCCGGGAUGGGCCCCCAGGGGGAAUUCGGGAGCCCCGCGGGGAGCCAGGGAUGGCUCCGGGCUGGAGCCUCCUCACAGGGGCGGUCCCGGGUCAAAAGGGGCAAAUCCGGGUCAGGGCUGUGGCCCCGGGGCUGUUCCCUAAACUGGGAGGCUCCAGAGGCCGGGAGCAGCUGGAGCGCUGGGAUGGGAUGGGAUCGAUGGGAUGGGAUGGGAUGGGAUGGGAUGGGAUGGGAUGGGAUGGGAUGGAAUGGAUGGGAUGGAGAUAGGAUGGGGCUGGGUGAGAUUUCCUGGCUCCCCCCCUGCAUUGGGCUGGGUGGGAUUUCCUCGCUCCCCCCAGGCUUCCUGCACCGCCCUGGGCAAACCCAUCCACUCCUUUUGUGCUUUUUGUGUUUUGUGUUUUGUGCUUUGUCUGCGCAGUUCCCACAUCCCGGGGUCCAUCCUGGUUCCUCUGGGACCAUCCCUCCCUUUGCAGCGCCCCGCUCUCAUUCCUGGCCUCAGAUUUCCACAACAAUUCCCGAUUUCGCAGCUGACGAGGCGGAGAUUCCCCCUCCGAGCCCUCGGGGGCUGAGCUGCGGCUUCCCCGAGCUCCCGUGGCCGGGGGGGAUGAACCGUGCCGGGUUCGGGGGCGCGGAGGGGCCCUGGGCUCGUUCCAAGCCCCGCUAUCCGAGCCUGCCCCUGCCUGCACCGGGACCGGCCCGGGCGAGGCUCCUCCCGCGGCUGCUCCCGCAGACCGGCGGGCACCGCUGGGAACCGCGGGAUGCAAACAGAAAACACCGGGGCGGCUCCGGGCCCCGAGGGCUCCCGGUCCUUUCUGGCUCCCGGUUCCCUGCCAGGAAAUCGGGAUCCAGCAGCGGAUCCAGUGGGAAUUUAUCCAAUCUGAGCAUCUCCCAUUUCCUCCAGCCGGGAAUUCCUUCCCUUUUCCCCCGAGCGUUUGGAAUCCGAGGGUCCGGGAGCUGCAGCCUCCGGGCAGGGUCCCUGCAUCGCUCCCAGCCUUUCCUGCACCUUCUCUCCGAGCUCUGCAUUCCCCGGCCGCCGUUGCCCCUCCCAAAUCGGGGAUCGGGGCAGUUCCACCCCGACCCCUGCACCGCUUCCCAGAGAAGAAGGAAUUUUCUCACUGGGAAGAAGAAGAAAAAUUUCAUUUUCGGUGUUUGGCUGGGAACGCAUCCAGACACAGGGAAAGGGAAAAAAAACCCAAAAAACCCAAACAAUCCAAACCUCAACAUUCCCUCUUCCAGAUCCACUGGAAAAAUAAAAUUAAUUCUUGGAGAGAGCACGAAGGAAAUGGUUUGAUCCCAGACUGGUCCCAGUCCCAAACUGGUUUUGCUCCAGCACGCACAGAGCCCAUCCCAGGGGUUUCCCACGCGAGGGAACCUCUGGAAUCAGCGGUGGGAGAUGGAAUUCAGGCCUUGGCUUUGGACACCCUGGUCCUGGAGCCUGGAAAUUCCCGGGGCAGCUCCGGGCUGGGACGGGGCCGCGGCCCCACUGGGGGAACUGGGACGCGCUGGGAUCCGAACGCACCCGCGGCCGUUCCGGGACGGGAUUCCUUGGAAAAGCAGGAAUGAGGGUGCUCCAGCGCAUCCUCUGGCCCCGGGGCUGAGCAGCAGGAGCGGGGGCCAAGUUCCUCGGCAGCCAACACGAACCUGGAGCGAAUCCACCCCGAUUCCCCCCGGCGGGAGGAGGAGGCGCUCGCAGCCCGGUCCCGCAGCCGCUCCCUCCCCGCCGGAGCUGCCCCGGGCCGGGACAGGAGCGGGAUCGGCUUCCCAGCGGGAAUGUUGUGGGGCUGGGGUGAAAAUGCAGGGAAUUG
ensembl:lncRNA